rnacentral:rRNA from 1 species
UACGGAGGGUGCAAGCGUUAUCCGGAUUUACUGGGUUUAAAGGGUGCGCAGGCGGAUAUGUAAGUCAGUGGUGAAAUCUCUAGGCUUAACCUGGAAAUUGCCGUUGAUACUAUAUAUCUUGAACGUUGUGGAGGUAAGCAGAAUAUGUCAUGUAGCGGUGAAAUGCUUAGAUAUGACAUAGAAUACCUAUUGCGAAGGCAGCUUACUACGCAGAUAUUGACGCUCAUGCACGAAAGCGUGGGGAUCAAACAGG